GGACAGAUGGCCGAGUGGUCUAAGGCGCCGUCUUAAGGUUCGAUGAAUCGGCGGUCUUCGGGCGUGGGUUCGAAUCCCACUCUGUUCA
rnacentral:tRNA from 1 species